UGGGGAAUAUUGGACAAUGGGGGCAACCCUGAUCCAGCGAUGCCGCGUGGGUGAAGAAGGCCUUCGGGUUGUAAAGCCCUUUAGGUUGGGAAGAAGGUGAUAUGGGGAUAAUCCAUAUUACUUGACGGUACCGACAGAAUAAGCACCGGCAAACUCUGUGCCAGCAGCCGCGGUAAUACAGAGGGUGCGAGCGUUAAUCGGAGUUACUGGGCGUAAAGGGCGCGUAGGCGGUGGAAUGUGAGUGAUGUGAAAGCCCUGGGCUUAACCUAGGAAGCGCAUCGCAGACUAUUUUACUGGAGUAGAUGAGAGGGUGAUGGAAUUUCCGGUGUAGCGGUGAAAUGCGUAGAGAUCGGAAGGAACGUCGAUGGCGAAGGCAGUCACCUGGCAUCAUACUGACGCUGAAGCGCGAAAGCGUGGGGAUCGAACA
rnacentral:rRNA from 1 species